UAGGUACUCCCUCCGUCCGAAAAUACUUGUCAUCAAAAUGGAUAAAAAAGGAUGUAUCUAGAACUAAUAUACAUCUAGAUACAUCCCCUUUUAUUCAUUUUGAUGACAAGUAUUUCCGGACGGAGGGAGUAGGAG
rnacentral:pre_miRNA from 1 species